rnacentral:rRNA from 1 species
ACGGCUCAGUAACACGUGGCUAACCUACCCUCGGGUGGGGGAUAACCUCGGGAAACUGAGGAUAAUACCCCAUAGGAGAAGAGGUCUGGAAUGAUCCUUCUCUGAAAACAUAUGUGCCCGAGGAUGGGGCUGCGUCUGAUUAGGUAGUUGGUGGGGUAACGGCCCACCAAGCCUACGAUCAGUACGGGCCUUGAGAGAGGCAGCCCAGAGAUGGGGACUGAGACACGGCCCCAGGCCCUACGGGGCGCAGCAGGCGCGAAACCUCCGCAAUGCACGAAAGUGCGACGGGGGGACCCCAAGUGCUUACGCACUGCGUAGGCUUUUCUAAAGUGUAAAAAGCUUUAGGAAUAAGGGCUGGGCAAGUCCGGUGCCAGCAGCCGCGGUAACACCGGCGGCCCGAGUGGUGACCACUUUUAUUGGGCCUAAAGCGUCCGUAGCCGGUCCAGUAAGUCCCUGUUUAAAUCCUACGGCUUAACCGUAGGGCUGGCAGGGAUACUGCUGGACUUGGGACCGGGAGAGGGCGAGGGUACUUCAGGGGUAGCGGUGAAAUGUGUUGAUCCCUGGAGGACCACCUAUGGCGAAGGCACUCGCCUGGAACGG